NCUCAAGGCCAUACUAUCCUGCAUGCGACUGAUCUCAUCUGAUCUCAGGAGCUAAGCAGUGUAGGAUAGGAGACAGUAUAUUUGCUGGGCAGUGGUGGUGCACGCCUUUAAUC
rnacentral:rRNA from 1 species